rnacentral:misc_RNA from 1 species
GCCCUACAAAUUGCACGCUUGAUCCCAUGGUUGUCCAUGAAACCCCUCGGCCACAAUUGUGCAAGCUCAACAUACAACUUUCUAACUUGUGGGCCAGCAUCUUCAUCCAGUCCAUCAACAAAGAGGUCAUAAAGAUCACAAAUUUUGUCCUCCAAAACAGCAUCCAUGCUAAAUUUUGCUAAAUUUUCUUUUAGUGGCUCCUUUUUCCUCAGAAGCAAUUUCUUGAAAGUCAUCAGAUGCUCCAGCUUGUUGCUCCAAUGCCUUGGACUCUGAAGGGACACAUAUCUUUAUCAUCUCAGCAACUUCUCUCUUUAUUUGUUGGAACCUAUCAUCUUUCUCUUGCUUUGCAGACAAGCCCAUGUUAAUCAUUACUUUCAAGUUCCUCUUGAGUGUUCUGAGCUGUAUUAAGUGACCAAGAAUGCUCAUAAGGCGAUUGAGCAACUCCUUUG